UACGGGGGGGGCAAGCGUUGUUCGGAAUUACUGGGCGUAAAGGGCUCGUAGGCGGCCAACUAAGUCAGACGUGAAAUCCCUCGGCUUAACCGGGGAACUGCGUCUGAUACUGGAUGGCUGGAGUUUGGGAGAGGGAUGCGGAAUUCCAGGUGUAGCGGUGAAACGCGUAGAUAUCUGGAGGAACACCGGUGGCGAAGGCGGCAUCCUGGACCAAUACUGACGCUGAGGAGCGAAAGCCAGGGGAGCAAACGGG
rnacentral:rRNA from 1 species